AUGGGCAAAUCCUCGGCCAAGCUCCCUCCUGCUGCCUGCACCCGGCCCUGGGGGGUCCAGGAAAAUCCAGGAAUACCCAGGAACAUCCAGGAAAAUCCAGGAAUCUGCUGGGAAUGCUCAGAGAGGUUUAAAAGCCCCGCCCAAAGCAGGGCCGGGGGUUUGGGCACCUUCCCUGGGCUGGUGCUGCUGAAUCCGCGGCGACCUCGGCACGAAAACGUCGGGAAUGGCACAGGAACGUCGGGAAUGGCAGGAAAAGCACCAGGGAUGGCACAGGAAUGUCAGGAAUGGCACAGGAAAUGUCAGGAAUGGCACAGGAACGUCGGGAAUGGCACAGGAAAUGUCGGGAAUGGCACAGGAACGUCGGGAAUGGCAGAAAAGGCAUCAGGGAUGGCAAAGGAAUGUCAGGAAUGGCACAGGAAUGUUGGGAAUGGCACAGGAAGCGUCGGGAAUGGCACAGGAAUUUCGGGAAUGGCACAAAAGGCACCAGGGAUGGCACAAAAAUGUUGGGAAUGGCAUGGAAUCAUCAGGAAUGGGCACCACAGAAGGCCUCAGGAACAUCGGGGCUGGCAGAGGAACAUCAGGAAUGGCACAGGAACAUCGGGAAUGGCACAAAAGGCAUCGGGAAUGGCACAGGAACGUCAGGAAUCUCCACAAGUGCAGCAGGGCACAGCUCAGCACAAGCCGAAUUGGGAAUUGCAGCGCUGCCAGCAGCCCCCUCCUCCUGCCAAGAUUUCGGGCAGGAAUUCCCGGCACCGGGAUCCCCCCAAAAACCAGGACAAAGCCACCCCCUUCCCCCCCAUCCCCUGGGCCAGGAAAUCCCGGCUCCCACCCAAACCUCUCCCACUUUUGCCCCGGGAGCACCAGGAACAAACCCGGCCCAAGCUUUUCCCUUCCCACUCUGCUCCUGAAGGAUCCGACAGGCUCAGACCCGGCAUCAAUUCAGCACCACCAAAAUCCAACCCAUUCCAAGGAUUCUCCAGGAAUCUGCCUGAAAAUCAGAAAUAA
rnacentral:lncRNA from 1 species